UACGGGGGGAGCAAGCGUUGUUCGGAUUUACUGGGCGUAAAGGGCGGGUAGGCGGCCACCGCAAGUCAGUUGUGAAAUCUCUGGGCUUAACCCAGAAAGGUCAACUGAUACUGCGGGGCUAGAGUGCAGAAGGGGCAACUGGAAUUCUCGGUGUAGCGGUGAAAUACGUAGAUAUCGAGAGGAACACCUGCGGCGAAGGCGGGUUGCUGGGCUGACACUGACGCUGAACUGCGAAAGCUAGGGGAGCGAACGGG
rnacentral:rRNA from 1 species